AAUGAACGUUGGCGGCAUGGAUUAGGCAUGCAAGUCGAGCGAGAAGGGUUUUGAAGCUUGCUUUAGAACCCGGACAGCGGCGAAAGGGAGAGUAACGCGUAGUUAUGUGCCCUAGGGUCCGGAAUAGCCACGGGAAACUGUGGGUAAUGCCGGAUAACAUCCCCGGAUCAAAGGUGUGAUUCCGCCCUAGGAGCAGACUGCGUCCUACUAGCUAGUUGGUGGGGUAAUGGCCCACCAAGGCAAUGAUGGGUAGCGGGUGUGAGAGCAUGACCCGGCUCACUGGGACUGAGACACUGCCCAGACAACUACGGGUGGCUGCAGUCGAGAAUCUUCGGCAAUGGGUGAAAGCCUGACCGAGCGAUGCCGCGUGCGGGAUGAAGGCCCUCGGGUUGUAAACCGCUGUCGUAGGGGAGGAAGGUUCCGUGAAGAGCGGAAUUUGACCUAUCCUAGGAGGAAGUACGGGCUAAGUUCGUGC
rnacentral:rRNA from 1 species